CCUGCCAGUAGUCAUAUGCUUGUCUCAAAGAUUAAGCCAUGCAUGUCUCAGUACAAGCCAAAUUAAGGUGAAACCGCGAAAGGCUCAUUAAAUCAGUUAUGGUUCCUUAGAUCGUACCCACAUUUACUUGGAUAACUGUGGUAAUUCUAGAGCUAAUACAUGCAAACAGAGCUCCAACCGGAGACGGAAGGAGUGCUUUUAUUAGAACAAAACCAAUCGGCGGCGUGUUCGCUUGCGUUCACGUUCGCCGCCCAACUUGGUGACUCUGAAUAACUUUACGCUGAUCGCACGGUCUUGCACCGGCGACGCAUCUUUCAAAUGUCUGCCUUAUCAACUGUCGAUGGUAGGUUCUGCGCCUACCAUGGUUGUAACGGGUAACGGGGAAUCAGGGUUCGAUUCCGGAGAGGGAGCCUGAGAAACGGCUACCACAUCCAAGGAAGGCAGCAGGCGCGCAAAUUACCCACUCCCGGCACGGGGAGGUAGUGACGAAAAAUAACGAUACGGGACUCAUCCGAGGCCCCGUAAUCGGAAUGAGUACACUUUAAAUCCUUUAACGAGGAUCAAUUGGAGGGCAAGUCUGGUGCCAGCAGCC
rnacentral:rRNA from 4 species